rnacentral:sRNA from 1 species
GAAUGUCUUAAAGCUGGUGGUAGUCUUCGUUUGUAGCCACGCAACGAACAUCACACAUUUUUGUUUUUGGGAGCCAGAAACGCAUGCGCUUUUGUAAACUUUUAAAACGAACUAAGUGUCGACGAUAUUAAGCCUUAUUAUUUUGUUUGGGAUU